GGCCGAUGAUGGUGUUGGCCUUGCCGUCAAAGGCGCGUUUGGAGUUCGAGUUCAGAUCGAGGUCAUAGCUGAAGCUUCGCAGCGCCUGGCCUAGCGAGGAUGCGCUGCCGGACCCGUCAACGCCCAGGCCGGCUGAAGUUUUCUUGUCCAUCUCGCGUUUUUCCUGCGAAUCGGACCCGGUGGCUUCAUCGAUCUGUAUGGUGAUAACGUCGCCGACGUUCCGCGCCUUAAAGUCGCCGAAGAGAUUGGCCAUCCUCGGAUCGCGUCGAUCCCAGAGAGAAUCCGCGUGCGAAAUCGCCGGCAUCGCCGCCGUGAGUACAAGGGCACACCACAACUGCUUAUGCAUGUUUCUGCUCCUUGAAAAUUCCCCUCGUUCCCAAGCUCUGCUUGGGAACGCUGCUUCGCGAAGCUCCGCUUCGCGGGAGUCGGCGCGACCUAAAGUGUUCGGUCCGAUCGAUGAAGCGGUACAUCGAGGCGGUGCGUUCCCACGCGGAGCGUGGGAACGAGAGUGAUUCAAUCAUCCACGAGCACAAUGCCGCGGCCGUCCACACGACCCAGCACGAUGAUGCUUGAAUGGACGUUGCGUACGCGAAUGAGGUCGCCGGUCUUGCCGUCCUGCAAGGCUUCGCCCUUGGCCUCGAUCCGGACGGUCCCGAUCUUCGCGACGAUCCUCACAGCGUCGGCCCGCUUGACAACGACCUCCCGGUUAUCGGGGGCUGGCGUGAUGUUCCCCGCGGGCAAGAUGC
rnacentral:misc_RNA from 1 species